rnacentral:rRNA from 1 species
GACGAACGCUGGCGGCGUGCUUAACACAUGCAAGUGGAGCGACGAACCGGGGCUUGCCCCGGGGCAGAGCCGCGAACGGGUGAGUAACACGUGGGUAACCUACCUCGAUGACCGGGACAACCCGAGGAAACUCGGGCUAAUACCGGAUGAGCUCCUUCCACAUCAGUGGAUUGAGGAAAGAUAGCUUCGGCCUUCGCAUCAAGAUGGGCCCGCGGAGCAUUAGUUUGUUGGUGGGGUAACGGCCUACCAAGACUUCGAUGCUUAGCUGGUCUGAGAGGACGAUCAGCCACACUGGGACUGAGACACGGCCCAGACUCCUACGGGAGGCAGCAGUGGGGAAUCUUGCACAAUGCGCGAAAGCGUGAUGCAGCAACGCCGCGUGGGGGAAGAAGGCCUUCGGGUUGUAAACCCCUUUCAGUUGGGACGAAGCUUCGACGGUUAAUAGCCGGCUGGAGUGACGGUACCUUCAGAAGAAGCCCCGGCUAACUACGUGCCAGCAGCCGCAGUAACAC